rnacentral:rRNA from 1 species
GAUGAACGCUGGCGGCGUGCUUAACACAUGCAAGUCGAACGAAGCACUACUUUUGGAAGGUCUUAGCUUGCUAAGAGCGGACAUGUGUAGUGACUGAGUGGCGGACGGGUGAGUAACGCGUGAGUAACCUGCCUUAUACAGGGGGAUAACAGUUGGAAACGACUGCUAAUACCGCAUAAGCUUACAGUAUCGCAUAAUACAGUAAGAAAAACUCCGGUGGUAUAAGAUGGACUCGCGUCUGAUUAGCUAGUUGGUGAGGUAAUGGCUCACCAAGGCGACGAUCAGUAGCCGACCUGAGAGGGUGACCGGCCACAUUGGGACUGAGACACGGCCCAAACUCCUACGGGAGGCAGCAGUGGGGAAUAUUGCACAAUGGGGGAAACCUGAUGCAGCGACGCCGCGUGAAGGAUGAAGUAUUUCGGUAUGUAAACUUCUAUCAGCAGGGAAGAAAAUGACGGUACCUGACUAAGAAGCCCCGGCUAAUUACGUGCCAGCCGCCGCAGUAACAC